rnacentral:rRNA from 1 species
GAUGAACGCUAGCGGGAGGCCUAACACAUGCAAGCCGAGCGGUAGAGUCUCUUCGGAGACUUGAGAGCGGCGCACGGGUGCGGAACACGUGUGCAACCUGCCUUUAUCUGGGGGAUAGCCUUUCGAAAGGAAGAUUAAUACCCCAUAAUAUACUGGAUGGCAUCAUCUGGUAUUGAAAACUCCGGUGGAUAGAGAUGGGCACGCGCAAGAUUAGAUAGUUGGUGAGGUAACGGCUCACCAAGUCAGCGAUCUUUAGGGGGCCUGAGAGGGUGAUCCCCCACACUGGUACUGAGACACGGACCAGACUCCUACGGGAGGCAGCAGUGAGGAAUAUUGGACAAUGGGUGAGAGCCUGAUCCAGCCAUCCCGCGUGAAGGACGACGGCCCUAUGGGUUGUAAACUUCUUUUGUAUAGGGAUAAACCUAGAUACGUGUAUCUAGCUGAAGGUACUAGACGAAUAAGCACCGGCUAACUCCGUG